rfam:Salmo salar isolate Sally breed double haploid chromosome ssa04, whole genome shotgun sequence.
UGCAUUCACUACUGUAAGUCUAUCUGGAUAAGAGUGUCUGCUAAAUGACUAAAA